rnacentral:piRNA from 1 species
UAGACGUGACUACCACUGCAGGGAAGCAGGC